rnacentral:rRNA from 1 species
UAGGGAAUAUUGCAAAAUGGGCGAAAGCCCGAUGCAGCAACGCCGCGUGGGCGAUGAAGGCCUUCGGGUCGUAAAGCCCUUUUUGAGGGGAUGAGGAAGGACAGUACCCUCAGAAUAAGCCUCGGCUAACUACGUGCUAGCAGCCGCGGUAAAACGUAGGAGGCGAGCGUUAUCCGGAUUUACUGGGCGUAAAGCGCGUGCAGGCGGAUUGGAGAGUUGGAUGUGAAAGCUCCCGGCUUAACUGGGAGAGGUCGUUCAAUACUUCCAGUCUUGAGUGCAGUAGAGGGAAGUGGAAUUCCGGGUGUAGUGGUGAAAUGCGUAGAUAUCCGGAGGAACACCAGUGGCGAAAGCGGCUUCCUGGACUGUAACUGACGCUCAGACGCGAAAGCUAGGGUAGCAAACG